CUUCACGUUCCUUCCUUCCUGGGUAGAAUGACCUGGAGAGUCAGCCUCUGGGGUACGUCUCAGCGUCCAGCCAGUGCUUGGUGGUUGCGCAGGCAGUGCUGCUGCACAAAACAGGUGAAGAAAAUCAGGCUUGAUUAGAGAAGGACAGGAAGCAGAUGAACAAUUGGACCUGUUGCUUCUCCUGCAAGGGACCUGAAAGGACAGUGUGGCUGGACGCAGCGGCAGACACUUCUUUGGAUGAAGCUGAGCCUCUGAAGCUGUCCCCGAACUUGAUAAGCUUUUCAUGGGAUAUGCUAGAUGAGGAAAUGAAAUGGGACUUGACUGGUUGUCAAAGGCUUCUCUGGGAUGUUCUGGACAUUUGACCCAUGCCCAACAAACCUGGCGUCCACUUAAGAGACCUUCCACUCACCUCUCGGUUCCUGUCUGGCUCCUCAGCCUGGCUGCACUGAGCUCUUACUCCACCUACCCCUUGGGUCCACUACUUCCGUGCUGCUCUCCCCAGCUCAUUACAGAUUUUCCUUCCCUGGAAUGUUUCCUUUACCAUCAGGAUCCCAGUCAAACGCCACUGCCUUCAUGAAGCCUUUUUCAACCACCCAGAACCCCCUUCUCUGAAUGCCCGGUAAACUGGGAGUGAGUACCAUUCAUUUUGUGGACCCCCCAGGUCAACCAGGUCCUCCAGUCAAUGUUCAGCAAGUCUUUUCUAUCACCUACUGUGUGCUUGGCAUUUUGGAAGAGAUGGUGGAGGAUAUUGAAGCAAGAUCAUAAGCUGAGAAUUUCAUCUCCUGACUCUGCACCUACUCACCAGUGAGGGAGACUGAACUAUGAUCAUUUACUCCUUUUCACAAAUGAGAAAGCAGAACCCCAGAGUGGUAAAGUAAUUGCUUCAGGAUCAUACAGAUCCUGUCACUGUGCCACAGAGAGACACUGGAUUAUACUUCGGUAGGGAGUAUGCUGGCUGAUUGAUUCCUGUGGCUGGUGUCUAACAUCCUACCCUCCUGAAGGCAUUUUGGAAUUGAUUUUAGGAAGUCUUCGUUGUUUUUCUACGUAGAGAAGCUUACCUUCUUGUACAUCUUCCUCUUACUAAAAUAGAAAGGCU